UACGUAGGGUGCAAGCGUUGUCCGGAAUUAUUGGGCGUAAAGAGCUCGUAGGCGGUUUGUCGCGUCUGCUGUGAAAACUCGGGGCUUAACUCCGGGCCUGCAGUGGGUACGGGCAGACUAGAGUGCGGUAGGGGGAGACUGGAAUUCCUGGUGUAGCGGUGGAAUGCGCAGAUAUCAGGAGGAACACCGAUGGCGAAGGCAGGUCACUGGGCCGCAACUGACGCUGAGGAGCGAAAGCAUGGGGAGCGAACAGG
rnacentral:rRNA from 1 species